UACGUAGGGGGCAAGCGUUGUCCGGAUUUAUUGGGCGUAAAGCGCGUGUAGGCGGUUCAAUAGGUCCGAUGUGAAAACUCGAGGCUCAACUUCGAGAGGCCAUCGGAAACCAUUGGACUAGAGUCCGGAAGAGGAGAGUGGAAUUCCUGGUGUAGCGGUGAAAUGCGCAGAUAUCAGGAGGAACACCGAUGGCGAAGGCAGCUCUCUGGGACGGUACUGACGCUAAGACGCGAAAGCGUGGGGAGCGAACAGGAUUAGAUACCCUGGUAGUCCACGCCGUAAACGAUGGGCACUAGGUGUGGGUGGUGUCGACUCCAUCCGUGCCGCAGCUAACGCAUUAAGUGCCCCGCCUGGGGAGUACGGCCGCAAGGCUA
rnacentral:rRNA from 1 species